rnacentral:rRNA from 1 species
AGGUGGUGCAUGGUUGUCGUCAGCUCGUGUCGUGAGAUGUUGGGUUAAGUCCCGCAACGAGCGCAACCCUCGUUCUAUGUUGCCAGCACGUAAUGGUGGGAACUCAUGGGAUACUGCCGGGGUCAACUCGGAGGAAGGUGGGGAUGACGUCAAAUCAUCAUGCCCCUUAUGUCUUGGGCUUCACGCAUGCUACAAUGGUCGGUACAAAGGGUNGCAAUACCGCGAGGUGGAGCGAAUCCCAAAAANCCGAUCGUAGUCCGGAUUGAGGUCUGCAAC